UACGUAGGGGGCUAGCGUUGUCCGGAAUCAUUGGGCGUAAAGAGCGUGUAGGCGGUCCGGUAAGUCAGCUGUGAAAGUCAAGGGCUCAACCCUUGAAAGCCGGUUGAUACUGUCGGGCUCGAAUCCGGAAGAGGUGAGUGGAAUUCCUGGUGUAGCGGUGAAAUGCGCAGAUAUCAGGAGGAACACCAAUGGCGAAGGCAGCUCACUGGGACGGUAUUGACGCUGAGACGCGAAAGCGUGGGAGCAAACAGG
rnacentral:rRNA from 1 species